AUCCAAAUAGCGAGUCCCAAAUGGGACGAAACGCGCGUCCUGGAU
rnacentral:hammerhead_ribozyme from 1 species